rnacentral:rRNA from 1 species
UUGGGAAUAUUGGACAAUGGGGGCAACCCUGAUCCAGCCACGCCGCGUGAGUGAUGAAGGCCUUCGGGUCGUAAAACUCUUUCAGCAGGGACGAAGGGAAACUUGACGGUACCUGCAGAAGAAGCACCGGCUAACUCCGUGCCAGCAGCCGCGGUAAUACGGAGGGUGCAAGCGUUGCUCGGAAUCAUUGGGCGUAAAGCGCGUGUAGGCGGUUUCCUAAGUCUGAUGUGAAAUCCCUGGGCUCAACCCGGGAACUGCAUUGGAUACUGGGAAGCUAGAGGACAGAAGAGGAUGGUGGAAUUCCAGGUGUAGGGGUGAAAUCCGUAGAUAUCUGGAGGAACAUCGGUGGCGAAGGCGGCCAUCUGGUCUGUAUCUGACGCUGAGACGCGAAAGCGUGGGG